rnacentral:miRNA from 1 species
UACAAGGCAAUAAGGAUUUCCAA